UACGUAGGGGGCUAGCGUUGUCCGGAUUUAUUGGGCGUAAAGAGCUCGUAGGUGGUUCGGUAAGUCGGAUGUGAAAUCUCUAGGCUCAACCUAGAGCCUGCAGGCGAAACUGCCGUGCUUGAGGGUGGGAGAGGUGCGUGGAACUCCCGGUGUAGCGGUGAAAUGCGUAGAUAUCGGGAGGAACACCUGUGGCGAAAGCGGCGCACUGGACCACAUCUGACGCUGAGGCGCGAAAGCGAGGGGAGCAAACAGG
rnacentral:rRNA from 1 species